ensembl:lncRNA
CUGCGGAAAGCGAAACAGCUCCAUGCUAGUUGUUGAGGAUGGAUUUCUGGAAGUAAAAUGACCACGUGAAAGGGAAUGAGUAUUUUCAAGUUGUCCAUAUGAUCUCCAGAGAGGUUUUAUAUUCACUUUCCCUUUGGGCUGCUGUAAAGUAGGUGCUGGUGCAUCACCGCAAGUCAGCACUGUGGCUUUGGGACAGUUAAUUGACUUCUGUGCAUUACUUUCUGCCUCAGGGAAAAUGGGAAUCAGCACCUACUUCGAAGGAAGUGAAGGGGUGCAGGGAAUGAGAUGGUGUUAGACGAGACGCACCAUCUACACAUUUGCUAUUAUUUAAAGCAACAUCCAAACCAUCGUAGAAGUGUUUUGCUUGGGAAAACUGGAGGAGGAGACAGGAUUCCCUAAUAUCACAGUGACCUACAGAGAGGGACAAAAGUACAGGUUCUCUACCCAGAAGUACCUUCAACCCCUUUCUAAGGAAACCUCCUCUGAGAUCCACUUGCCCACUAACCCCAGCUAUCAGGACCCAGCAAUUCUGCCAAGCACCUUCAAAUCUAGCAAGUCAUGCUGGCUUUCUGCUUCAGGUGGGGCCUUAGCAACUGGCUCCAAAUUAAAAUAAAGUGAUGAUCCUUUGCAGGGAGAAAGUGUGAGAAUUUUCAGUUGCCUGGUAGACUUUUGUGGACUACUAUUGCUUUUGAGGUAUUAGGAGACUAACGAUGACAAUGGGAGCAUCUCAAGAUCUCUUCAAGCUCACCCUCAUUGUCUUUAUGUCAGGUACCUUUCAGUUUCU